GUCAGUGUGGCAGAGAGUAUGCGAAAGUUCUAAGAUCUUUUUACGGAAGGAGUUCCCGCUGAUU
rnacentral:tRNA from 1 species